GGCCCAGACUCCUACGGGAGGCAGCAGUGGGGAAUAUUGCACAAUGGGGGGAACCCUGAUGCAGCAACGCCGCGUGGGUGAAGAAGUAUUUCGGUAUGUAAAGCCCUAUCAGCAGGGAAGAAGAUGACGGUACCUGACUAGGAAGCCCCGGCUAAAUACGUGCCAGCAGCCGCGGUAAUACGUAUGGGGCAAGCGUUAUCCGGAUUUACUGGGUGUAAAGGGAGCGCAGGCGGCGCGGCAAGUCAGAUGUGAAAGCCCGGGGCUCAACCCCGGGACUGCAUUUGAAACUGCCGUGCUGGAGUGUCGGAGAGGCAAGUGGAAUUCCUAGUGUAGCGGUGAAAUGCGUAGAUAUUAGGAGGAACACCAGUGGCGAAGGCGGCUUGCUGGACGAUAACUGACGCUGAGGCGCGAAAGCGUGGGGAGCAAACAGGAUUAGAUACCCGAGUA
rnacentral:rRNA from 1 species